ensembl:processed_transcript Gm11542 predicted gene 11542
AGUAGGCGGUCCGCUCGUUUCUGUCUCCAAGGUUUGAGUCUUGUGCUUGGGGUCUUUUCCACAUCUCUAUGAGUGUCUGCCUGUGGAAGAAUCAUUUCCUGACCGCAAAAGCAUUGUCCCGGAGUGCGGAGGAUCUGCGGCCUGACCGCUCUGGUGUCGCAGGGCAUGGGGGGAGGGGGAGUCAGCUGGCCCCCACCCCUGGGAAAUGCUGGCACUCUCAAGACAGUGUGAGUACCACCUGCCCUGCCUAAAAUCUGAAGGCCGCAUCCCUGAAGACAAAGCAUAGGCCCUUGACUGACUUCUGAGGCUCUUCACGAAAUUGACUUGCCACUCUGCAACCUCUCAUCCCAAGCAUCCUCAGGCCUCUGCUGGUGUUGUGGCUCUCAACUUCUAGCUUACGUCAGAAUCUCCUGGAAGAUGAUUUAAAAAACAGCGCCAGUUCUCACUCCUGGAGUUUAGAACCUCCGAGAAUUAAAUUUUUCAACAAGUUCCGCUGCUGCUGCUGCUCUGGGAUCACGCUUGGAGACCCACCAGACCUUAGCAUAUGCUGUUUUCGCUCCACCCCAUCAGUGACAUCUUGGCUUGUGCCUCGCUAGCACAAUUUAAGCAUCUGGUGGUAAUUUCUCUGCGAACGUGCCUCGUUCGCCAUUGAAGCCUUGGCCCUCAGCUUUAAAGCUCAGUAAAUGUUAGGAGAGUAGGGAGCUGAGAGAACCCACCUGGUUGACCAUACUGCUUUCUGGCGUGUUCAAGAGCCGUGUCCAGUAAGGACUAAACACACCCGGGGCCUCACCUGAUCCCAGCAGACCACGGUGGGCAGUGGAAGGAGGACUUCUGCUUGCUUCGGUCAGCCCUGCUCGUUCCAGUUAGCCCCACUGGCUCUGGUCAACUCUUCUCACUCAGUCCCUGCUUGCUCCGGCCCAAAGAUUUAUUUAUUAUUAUACAUUAAGUACAUUGUAGCUGGCUUCAGACACACCAGAAGAGGGCGUCAGAUCUCAUUACGGGUGGUUGUGAGCCACCAUGUGGUUGCUGGAAUCUUUGGAAGAGCAGUCAGUGCUCUUAUCCACUGUGCCAUCUCGCCAGCCCAUGAACUCUAAUCUUAUAAAAAUGUUUUUUCUCUAAGCUGCCUUGGUCAUAAUGUCUCUUCACGACAAUAGAAAAGGAACUAAGACAUUAACCAAGAGUGGCCCAAGCCUUUCUCCAGCUGUGUCACUAGGUCUGCAAUCCUCCAGCGUCAGUAAAGGGCACGAGGGAAGCUCUGUGCUAGGAUAUAUCUGUGACAAGCAGAAAACUAAAACCACCAGACAAAAAAGGAAGGAAACAGAAAAAAGCACAACGCAAAACCCAAAAUGCCCAGCCCAGAACCCAGAUUCCAGGACAUGAAAGAACCGAAUAGUAGAAAAUGGAAAAACAAACAGAAACACAGCCAACCGACUAACAGUGUGUAGACUCAUCUCCCAAAGACUUGAAAAUAAGGAUGUUUGAAGAAAUAAAUGAAGAAAGUAUUUGUCAAAC